rnacentral:lncRNA from 1 species
UGGCAAGGUGGCUUGGCAGGUAAAGGCUCUUGCCAUGAAAGGUUGACGGCCUUCGAGCGAGAGUUCAAUCCCCGGAACCGCCAUGAAAAUGGAUAGAGUUGACUCCACAAAGCCGUCCUCUGACCCCUGCAGCGGCUUCACCACACACAUUGUUUCUGGAGAAGUGGUGUGCACACUUAGGUGCUAGAGGCAGGAGGAUUGCCCCAAGUUUGAGGCCACCCUGGCCUGCACAAUGAGUUCCAGGCGAGCCAGAGACACUGGCUCCAAAUAAACAAACAAGUGAACAAAGAAACAAAACUCAACACGGGCCCACUGAGGAGGAUCAGCAAGGAGCCAAAGGUGCAAAAGAGGCAGAGAGAGGUCCGGUGGGAAAAGCCCUGAGCGGAGCUGUGUGAGCAAACCGGCUGGGCUCCAUGGAGACGGGGCCCAUAAAAGUGUCUUCUUCCAUUUUCAAGGUAAAUAGAUGUCACCGCCACCGGGAAACAGAAGAUCGGCAAUGUGGGCCUCGGAUCCUGUGUUACCAGGGCUGCUGGGCUUGAACCCACUGAGGGCUGAAGGAGAGCACGAGGAUACAGUAACUAACCGUUUGCCAAAGUGAAGCCACUUGGGGAUGGCCGUGCUAAUCGCCUUCACGGCGGACAUGCGUGUGAAAUAUCAUAAAGCAUAUACAGAAUUGCGUGUAUCAAUUAAAGAUUUCCCCCCAGGUUGGGUCAGUAGUAUAGCUGACUUCCCGCCCGUCUGAUCUCGAGACAGAAGGAAAACAACAGUGUAUUCUGUGCUUGGAUCCUGCACACAUUUGGUUUUCCAUGGCCUCCCUCAUGGGCUAGGACCUACCAUCUUGGCUGGAAGAUAGAGUCUCACAAUACGGCUCUGGCUGGCCCAGAACUCUCUAUGUAAACCAGACCAGCUGGCCUCAAGUUCACAGAAAUGUCUCCAUCUCGAAGUGCUGGGAUUAAAGGUAUGCGC